rnacentral:rRNA from 1 species
AUUGAACGCUGGCGGCAGGCCUAACACAUGCAAGUCGAACGAGUGGCGGACGGGUGAGUAAUGUCUGGGAAACUGCCUGAUGGAGGGGGAUAACUACUGGAAACGGUAGCUAAUACCGCAUACCAUCGGAUGUGCCCAGAUGGGAUUAGCUAGUAGGUGGGGUAAAGGCUCACCUAGGCGACGAUCCCUAGCUGGUCUGAGAGGAUGACCAGCCAAACUGGAAUUGAGACACGGUCCAGCUUCCUACGGGAGGCAGAAGGGGGGAAUAUGGCACAAUGGGCGCAAUCCGGAGGCAGCCAUGCCGCGUGGAGGAAGAAGGCCUCCGGGUUGUAAAGUACUUUCAGCGGGGAGGCGUUACCCGCAGAAGAAGCACCGGCUAACUCCGUGCCAGCAGCCGCGGUAAUUC